CACGUUCUUGUUCUUUGCCCGUGUCUCGCAGAAAUAGAAACUAGACUGAGGGCUCAGUCUCUCUCGAUUCCUGUUCUCCUUGAGGCCGUUAAUCGUCAUCAAUUAACAUCGAAAUUUGUCCCGUCAGGAAAUCUCGUUUGUCACCGUAUCGCAUUUACUGUGCAGCUUCCGCGAUUUCAAUUGAGAAAUUAAAACAACGCGUGGUUAAGAUUCUUCAAACGCUAAAUAUCCACACUAUUGGUACUAAAUUAUUAAACUAGUAGAAAAAAAUGUAUGACCAUAAAAGGCAGGAAGCUGUACCGACUGCAACGUAAAGUUUGAAAGGAAGAAAAAUUUGCGACGGACGUUUGUUUGCUCGAAAGGUUCCAAGCAUAUGUCAAAAGAAAGGCAGGUAUCUGGUCCCCGUUCACGAAACCCGACAGAUGUUUCAAAUAAUAGUUGGACCACCACAAGGACACAACUAUGAAAAUAAACUCCGAAAUUCCAUAGACUACCCCGGUGCUCGAUCGAUAAAACAGGGAACACAUGCGAGGAAAGCAACAGGCGGGGACACGCAACGCGCUGCACGUUCAAUCGUGUUUCAACUAACACAUAUCAAUUGGUGGCUACCUAACGACUUGAUCGCGUUUACGGAACUGCGAUUUCGAUCGUUCGAUAGACACGAGGUCGUCGAACUUGUCGCUCGAUCGAACAAGCUCGAAGAGAAAGGCAUUUCGAGGUUAUAAAUGGCUUGUCAAAACGAGAAUAAAAAAACAUGGUGCGAUAUAAAAUGACGAAACAGGAGAAAGAAAAUUCACUAAGAAAAUUAGUAAGUUGUGGUACGAACCUGGUUUUGAAUCUUUGAGUGUCGUCCUGCCCGGCCCACAUUUUCUUCUGAUUACACGUAAAAAUACUUGACGAAUUGUGUGUCUGGUGACAAUUACAAAUCACACGGCCACGCGUUUCGACGGUCACGACACUUCGCGCCGGUUAUGCACGUAUGAGCGGUGUACGACGUAGGUCAGUCAGGCUGGGUCACCAGCCGUUCUCUUCCCUUUUCCGUUUCUAUCCUUAUUGCGCACACGCACCACCGUUCGCGAACGAGAGAGACAACGCGAUAGAAAAUGCGAAGGGAAACUAACGCACGCUACACGAGGAGGCGCCACCUCCAAAAAGUCGAGAAACCACGAAAGGAAGAGCGUUGUUCUGUGCACACACCGUGUUCUCUGCACUGACGGCAGAGAUCGACACCGUGUUGCAACGCAAACUUGCGUAGGGAGAAUGAUCCUCGCGCACGUGUGCAUGGGGCCUUAAGCCGGUUAUUCGACCUACGAGACUGCGCGAACAGUUCCGAAGGGGCAUGUCCUUAAACACACAGGCACGAACGCGAUUCACCUACAGACUACUCCGUUUUGGCUAUUUCUUCAGGCUAGCCGACGACGAUGUUUAUAUUUACCUUUUGAAUCGAGAACUUCUUACGGAUUUUCUUCAUUGCGAGAAUACCUUGCGUAGUUUCCACUGUAAAUAAAGAUGCAAGUCGAAUACGACUAGGAUUUAGACGUGUAUCUAAUUUACUUGCCGAAUAUAGUUCAAUGGUCAAACCGUCCUUAACACCGGUCAAACGGAGCACCUGUUCUGGGCCUUUCGCUUAGUUUUCAUAUUUUAUAGAAAUUAACCGAAUUAAGUAACUCUUAGUAUCAGAAUGGAGUAUUUAUUUAAAAUAUAGAGAUAAAUAAAAAAUAUUUCCUACCCUUUCCAUAAAUAUCAUAAGAAUUAAAAUACGUGCUCUCUAUCAUCAACGUGGACAGACAUAAAAAACACCUAAAAGGGAAAGGUGCAUAAAAGGAAAACAAAGGGUGGACAGAAUAUUGUACCUAUCCUAUGCAAUUACGAUAGCCUCCGAGCCUAAAUGUACACGCCUCUAUGCGGCACGCUAAAGAACUGCAGGACAUUGGGUGAGUCAUCCUGAAGCAGCGUGACUCGUGUUUCAGAAGCAUGCGUAUUAUCUGCAUGCAUUCCGAGAAAAUUUACAACAAAGGGGACGUACGAUUCACGAAUAUCUCUUGCACAAUGCAUAAUUACAUUUGAAAUGACAAGAUUCGACAAAAAAGUUCAUUCUUUGAAGACUGGUAUGAGAAAGAAAUUUAAACAUUUGUGGCUUUCUGUCAUCAUGAUUACAGACAUCCGGUACUUUCAACUUAUCUAAUUUUUAUAUCAUGAACCUCAAACGAUGUACAUUUAUACCGUAAGGAUAAUCAGACCGGAAAUGUAGAAACGUUUCCCA